UACGUAGGGUGCAAGCGUUGUCCGGAAUUAUUGGGCGUAAAGAGCUCGUAGGCGGUCUGUCGCGUCUGGUGUGAAAAUCCAGGGCUUAACCCUGGACCUGCAUCGGGUACGGGCAGACUAGAGUGCGGUAGGGGAGAUCGGAAUUCCUGGUGUAGCGGUGAAAUGCGCAGAUAUCAGGAGGAACACCGGUGGCGAAGGCGGGUCUCUGGGCCGAUACUGACGCUGAGGAGCGAAAGCGUGGGGAGCAAACAGG
rnacentral:rRNA from 1 species